rnacentral:rRNA from 1 species
UACAGGAGACUGCAAGCGUUAUUCGGAUUCACUGGGCGUAAAGGGUGCGCAGGUGGCCAAGUGUGUGAGGCGUGAAAGCCCGGGGCUUAACCCCGGAAUUGCACCUCAAACUACUUGGCUAGAGCAUUGGAGAGGGGAGCAGGAAUUCACGGUGUAGCAGUGAAAUGCGUAGAUAUCGUGAGGAAUACCAGAGGCGAAGGCGGCUCCCUGGACAAUUGCUGACACUCAGGCACGAAAGCGUGGGGAGCAAAAGGG